rnacentral:hammerhead_ribozyme from 1 species
AUCCGGCUGACGAGCCCCAAAUAGGGCGAAACGCGUGUUCUGGAC